GACGUAGGAGGCGAGCGUUGUCCGGAUUCAUUGGCGUAAAGAGCACGCAGGCGGUUUGGCAAGUCGGAUGUGAAAACCCGGAGCUCAACUCCGGACCUGCAUCCGAAACUGCCCGACUAGAGGUAGGUAGGGGAGAUCGGAAUUCCGUGGUGUAGCGGUGGAAAUGGCGCAGAUAUCAGGAGGAACACCGAUGGCGAAGGCAAUCCCCUGGGCCUGCACUGGACGCUCAUGCCACGAAAGCCGUGG
rnacentral:rRNA from 1 species